GUUGGAGACUGGUUUGAACUUCUAAAUGAUGCCAGCACUAUGGUGCUUUUCCAAUUAUGGAUAACAACAGAAAAGCAGUCAUUGGUUUCUAAAAGGUCAUCAAGAUAUAAGGCCCGAUUGGGAAAGGAAUGACUUAUGGAGUUGGCUUGUGUAAAUCUGGGGAAGUUUUAUGCACAAGUCAGGCACAAAAUCCCAGUGUGUAUGCAAAGAAAAAGCUGUUAAAAGUGGUCUUUCGAGUGAAUUUAGUGGUGGAGACGUACCACAUUGACAGCCCGGGAGGAUGGAGACCUCUGUUUUUCCAAAGAUUACGUAUGGUGUAAGCGACGGUAAAACAAGCCCUCUCUUCACACCCUGCGCUGCCAGUGACCUGGCGAUGACCUCUUUGGAUGAGAGGGCAAUUCAGUUUUCUCUGCCUCUCUGCUAAGACUGCCUGCCGUGUCCCACCUGUGAGGAUGGUGAUAUAGACGCUUGUCCGCUAGGAUCAGGAUUAUUUCCUCCAGCUCAUUUCACACACAGCAGGUCACUGAAGGGCCGUUGGUGUGGCUGUGUUGCUCUGCUCGCCGCUGUCAAUCACUGUCAAAUUCACACUAACCUAGAAGCAAAAGCCUCCCCAGCUCAUUACUGGGGCCAAUCCCCUUCCCCUGCUUUGUGCUUGUCCACUUAGAACACACAGUGUGGAAACUGGGUAAGAGUUGAUUUCCAAACGUGUAACGCAAGGGUGCUCGUUCACAGCUGCCAGGGCUGUUCUGCAGGGCGUAGGCCCUCGAAUGAGAGACACUGGUCUCUCUCAAGAGGGGACACAAUAAAGCACAUUUCUCCCAGAGUGUCCCUGGGUCUUUCCCAAAAUCUCCAUUAAUUGCCACCUAAGUUUUCCCUCUUCCCUUCUCCCCCUAUACUGCUCCAGAUCCCUCCCUUUUCUCUAUUGCUCCCAAAUGCCUUCCCUUACUCCUCUUGUCUCCAUAGCUCCUAUGCUCCAUUCAUCAUUCCACUCUCCCCCCGCCUGCAGCACUGCAGCCAGCCGCCUCAGCAGUCCCUGGGCCUUCCCUUUCCCCACAUUCGAAGCCGCUCUUGGAGCCCUCCAGGUGUUUGGACAGCACCCGCUUUUCUGCCCAUCUGAAUGUAAAUGAGGGGGAAGCAUUCACACAGCACGAUCAGGUGCCACAGCACUUUGCAUGCAGAUAAAAUGGCUUUCCUGACUCAAAGAGCUUCCUGGCCGAAUAACACAAACCUACAGUAAGACAUAAGGCAACCUUUCAGGGGAGAAGAGGGUGUGUGUUUGCAUGAGU